rnacentral:lncRNA from 1 species
CAAAUUGGGAAUUUUUCUUCGCAGCAGGUCUUCGAGCUUCGUUGAGCUGAAUUCGUACUCUUAGAAGCUGGUUUGGAAGCUGCUCUAACCAAGGGUAAGCAGGAAAUUCCGUUAGAAAUUCAAUUUCGCAAGAAUUGAACUAUAUAAGCUCAUAUACAAGCAUUUUGACGCCGUUUCGGUAUUGUUCGCAGCGAGAGGAUUUUUGAC